UUAAGCAUAUCAAUAAGCGGAGGAAAAGAAACCAACAGGGAUUACCCUAGUAACGGCGAGUGAAGCGGUAAGAGCUCAAAUUUAAAAUCUGGCCUUCACCGGUCCGAGUUGUAAUUUGUAGAGGAUGUUUCGGGCAAGGCUGUGGUUUAAGUUUCUUGGAACAGAACGUCAUAGAGGGUGAGAGUCCCGUCUAGAACCGAUAGCCGCGUCCAUGUGAAACUCCUUCGACGAGUCGAGUUGUUUGGGAAUGCAGCUCAAAAUGGGUGGUAAAUUUCAUCUAAAGCUAAAUAUUGGCCAGAGACCGAUAGCGCACAAGUAGAGUGAUCGAAAGAUGAAAAGCACUUUGAAAAGAGAGUUAAACAGUAUGUGAAAUUGUUGAAAGGGAAGCGCUUGCAACCAGACUUGUGUGUAGCGGUUCCCCCAGUCUUCUGACUGGGCUACUCCGUUAUAUCCAGGCCAGCAUCGGUUCGGGUGGUCGGUUAAAGGUCCUGGGAAUGUAUCUACCUUCGGGUCGACUUAUAGCCCAGGGCGUAAUGCGGCCUACCUGGACCGAGGAACGCGCUCUUGCUCGGAUGCUGGCGUAAUGGUUGUAAGCGGCCCGUCUUGAAACACGGACCAAGGAGUCUAACAUCUAUGCGAGUGUUAGGGUGUCAAACCCGUACGCGUAAUGAAAGUGAACGGAGGUAGGAAGCUUCGGCUGCACUAUCGACCGAUCCUGAUGUUCUCGGAUGGAUUUGAGUAAGAGCAUAACUCUCCGGACCCGAAAGAUGGUGAACUAUGCCUGAAUAGGGUGAAGCCAGAGGAAACUCUGGUGGAGGCUCGCAGCGGUUCUGACGUGCAAAUCGAUCGUCAAAUUUGGGUAUAGGGGCGAAAGACUAAUCGAACCAUCUGGUAGCUGGUUCCUGCCGAAGUUUCCCUCAGGAUAGCAGUAACGUUUUCAGUUUUAUGAGGUAAAGCGAAUGAUUAGAGGCCUUGGGGUUGAAACAACCUUAACCUAUUCUCAAACUUUAAAUAUGUAAGAAGUCCUUGUUACUUAGUUGAACGUGGACAUUUGAAUGUAUCGUUACUAGUGGGCCAUUUUUGGUAAGCAGAACUGGCGAUGCGGGAUGAACCGAACGUGAGGUUAAGGUGCCGGACUGCACGCUCAUCAGACACCACAAAAGGUGUCAAUGCAUCUAGACAGCCGGACGGUGGCCAUGGAAGUCGGAAUCCGCUUAGGAGUGUGUAACAACUCACCGGCCGAAUGCAUUGGCCCUGAAAAUGGAUGGCGCUUAAGCGUGCGACCUAUACCUCGCCGUCAGGGUUGACAUGAUGCCCUGACGAGUAGGCAGGCGUGGAGGUUUGUGACGAAGCCUUGGGGGUGACCCCGGGUCGAACAACCUCUAG
rnacentral:rRNA from 2 species